GGCGGACGGGUGAGUAACACGUGGGCAACCUGCCUGUAAGACUGGGAUAACUUCGGGAAACCGGAGCUAAUACCGGAUAAUCCUUUUCUACUCAUGUAGAAAAGCUGAAAGACGGUUUCGGCUGUCACUUACAGAUGGGCCCGCGGCGCAUUAGCUAGUUGGUGAGGUAACGGCUCACCAAGGCAACGAUGCGUAGCCGACCUGAGAGGGUGAUCGGCCACACUGGGACUGAGACACGGCCCAGACUCCUACGGGAGGCAGCAGUAGGGAAUCUUCCGCAAUGGACGAAAGUCUGACGGAGCAACGCCGCGUGAGUGAUGAAGGUUUUCGGAUCGUAAAACUCUGUUGUUAGGGAAGAACAAGUACAAGAGUAACUGCUUGUACCUUGACGGUACCUAACCAGAAAGCCACGGCUAACUACGUGCCAGCAGCCGCGGUAAUACGUAGGUGGCAAGCGUUGUCCGGAAUUAUUGGGCGUAAAGCGCGC
rnacentral:rRNA from 1 species